GCUAGCAGGACUAGGGCGCUAAGCUUGCAGGACUCUAGAAGGUCCCAUGCUCUGUGGUCGGGUGCGAGCCGCGCGUGCUGUCACCCACCCUUGCCACCGCUGGAAGGCAUUUUUUUUUGUUUGUUUUUUAAGAGUAAAACGCGAAACACCGGCGCCUUUUGCAGCAAACAUUUCCACUUCAGCAAGGGGAACAAAGUCUGGGAGCCGACAGGGCUCUGCGUGGUUACUCGCGCAGGAGAGCUCUGAGUAGGUUCUGAGACCAGCUCCUCCUGGCCCCGCUGCUGCAAGCCCUGGGUGCGCUGUCACCACAACCCAGGGGUGCCGGACUCCUCCUCUACAAGUUCUUUCUGGCUUCCUUCCCCCGGGAGACUCUCAUCGGAACAUUUCCGAAGCUUUAUUAAUUUUCAAGGGAGAAAGAUUUCUCACAUCAGGGGGGAAAGGAGAUUGUGACUCAGCAGCGGACUUGUUGAGGCUUGUAAAGUGGAAGGGGAAAGGCUUUCCAUGUAGACAGAGGAGCGCUGGAUGGGGACUUAAUCCAGUGUAAUUCCUCCCCACAGGAACAUUUUACACAGAGAAAACCACACUUGACUGUUUAGUCCAAUGAUAACUGAUCCACACGACAUAAUAAAGAAUUGUAUGUUCUUAGUUUUUAUUUUUAA
rnacentral:lncRNA from 1 species